rnacentral:lncRNA from 1 species
CUUUUUUCUUUGUCUUUUUAGGGCUGCAUUUGCUCCAUAUGGAGGUUUCCAGGCUCGGGGUCGAAUUGGAGCUGUAUCUGCAGGCCUGUGCCAGAGCCACAGCAGUGUCAGAUCUGAGCCAUGUCUGUGACCUACACUACAGCUCACGGCAAUGCCAGAUCCUUAACCCACUGAGUGAGGCCAGGGAUUGAACCCUCAACCUCAUGGUUCCUAGUAGGAUUUGUUUCUGCUCUGCCUCGACAGGAACUCCCUGACUCAGGAUUUCUGACAGUCAUCUUUUUCUGUGAUUUGCUGGGGAUACGAACACCCCCAGGGCACUCAGCCUUAGGGCCUUUUAGCUUUUGAGCCUUGAGUGCCUUGAACUUUUCUAGCAGUGCCCAGAUGCCCCUCUGCUUUUCCCUGUGUUCUUUUUUGCCCCCUUCUCAGGCCUCAGAUAUGCCCUGUCCAAGCUGCUUUCCAGCAAAUCAUCAGGCUGCAGUUUAUACUGGAAUAUUUUAAUGUUUCUGUCUCCCAUUCUAUGCCCUGGGGGGGGUGAUCCUACUCUGAAUUUUCUAAAUUAAUGUGAUAAGUACUAUUAAACGAUGCAGCCCAAGGCUUGACACUGGCUUCAGUUUCAGUUAUUCUGCUGGGAGAUGAAAGGACUUAGCCUUAAGGAGUAACUCAAGUGAUAGCUCAGGCACUGUGACUGACAACUGUUUUAGGGAGUUCCCGGGUGGGGCAACGGGUUGAGGAUCUGGUGGUGUCACUGCCGUGGCUCUGCUUGCUGCUGUGGCUCGGUUUGAUCUCUGGCCUGGGAACUCUGCAUGCUGUGGAUGUGGCCAGAAAAAAAGAAUUUUAGGCGGAGGUGCUUUUCCAUGCCUGAGAACGGGUACUCCAUUUACAGGAAAAGAGCCCCGCUUUGCAGAGAACUCAGAGCCCAAGUUUCUUGUGCUGUCCACCCCAGAGUUCUUAUGCCGAUGAAAUGGAAGCGCCUUGCCCUUCUGCUCCUCUUGACGUGGUCCAGGUCGGCUGUUCCCUGAUCAGAGCAGUCACCGCUCAGCCAUCCUCACAGCCCACGCUGUGUGGAUGCGGUUACUCCUGCAGUAGAGACCUGCCCACGGUCACAGGGCCACCGACCACAUUCAUGUGUAUGUGAGCACGUGUGUGUGGAGUCUGGGGUCUGAGGCAACAUUUUAAACCCAGGAUGCCUGCCUCCAGACUGGGGCCUUGAAUGCUUCACUAUACACAAUUGCAGGUCGCCCAGGCUCAGUCCUGUGCUGCUGGGGGCUGCACUGCUAAUGCUUUCUCAUUUUGGUUGUAAAGGUUUUAGUCAAUUUUUGUAACUGCCACCCCCCCCUUUUUUUUUUUGCCUGUGCUUGCAGCAUGUGGACGUUCCCAGGGCAGGGAUCAAACGGGGACCACAGGAGCUCCCGUCAUGGCUCAGAGGAAACAAAUCUGACACGCAGGUUCGAUCCCUGGCCUUGCUCAGUGGGUUAAAGAUCUGGCCUUGCUGUGAGCUGUGGUGUGGGCUGCAGACAUGGCUUGGAUCUGACAUUGCUGUGUCUGUGGCAUAGGCUGGUGGCUACAGCUCCAAUUUGGCCCCUAGCCUGGGAAUCUCCAUAUGCCACUGGUUUGGCCCUAAAAAGCAAAAAAAAAAAAAAAAAAAAAAGACAAAAAAAACAACCCUGGACUAUAGCAGCAGCCUGAGACACUGCAGUGACAAUGCCAGAUUCUUAACCCCCUGGACCACAAGGGAACUCCUGUAGCUGGCCCUUUAAAAGUGAGAUCUUUAAAAAAAAGGAGUUCCCAUUGUGGCUCAGUGUUACGAACCUGACUAGUAUCCAUGAGGAUGCGGUUUUGAUUCCUGGCCUUGCUCAGUGGGUUAAAGGAUCUGGCGUUGCUGUGAAUUGCAGCAUAGGUUGCAGGUACAGCUCGGAUCCUGCAUGUCUAUGGCUGUGGUGUAGGCUGGCAGCUGCAGCUCUGAUUCAACCCCUAGCCUGGGAACUUCCUUAUGCUGCAGGGGAUCUGAGAAUUUUAUUUAUUUAUAAUUUUUUUUCUUUGGUCACCCCCAUGGUAUAUGAAGCUCCCCAGGCCAGGGAUAGAAUCUGACCCAUGGCUGCCACCUAUGCCACAGCUGGACUCAUAUCCCACUGGGCUUGGCCAGGGACUGAACUGGGGCCUCCAAAGAAACAAUGUUGGGUCGUUAGCCCGUUGUGCCACAGCAGAAAUGUCAGGAUCUGAGAAUUUUAGAGCUUGACGGGGAAGUUGGAGAGGAUUGGGUUUCUGUCCUUCCUGCCCUUUUUUUUUUUAAAGGUGGCAUUUUAUUUAUUUACUGUCUUAUCUAGGGCAGCCCGCACCUGUGGCAUAUGGAGGUUCUCAGGCUAGGGGUCUAAUCAGAGUCCCACUGAGCGAGGCCAGGGAUCGAACCUGAAACCUCAUGGUUCCCAGUUGGAUUCGUUAACCACUGAGCCAUGACAGGAACUCCCUGUCCCUCCUGCUUUUUUAAAAAAUUAAUUAGUCCAUGCCUGUGGCAUACCGAGGUUCCUGGGCCAGAAACUGAACCUGUACCACUGUAGUGACUCAAGCCAGAGUAGUGACAACGCUGGAUCCUUAACCUGCUGAGCCAGCAGUGGACACCCUCCUGAUUUUUAAAACAGCUGCAAAACUCGGAUCCAGAGAGAUGAAAUGAUGUGCUUGAGACCACAUGGCUAGUUAGGACACGGGAAAAAAUGCCCGUGAAAUUCAGUAGAAGGUUAUCCUUUAAUUUUCUUAAGUUUUUAUUCUGAAGUAAUUUUGGACUUCAGAAAAAAAGUUACAGAAAUAAUAGGGUUCCUUUACCCAGCUCCCUCCAGUGUUACAAUCAUGGAUUUGUCAAAAGUCAUACAUUAACAGAAGUACAAUAUUAAUAACUAAAUUUCAGAUUUCACCAGUUUUUCCACCAAAAUCCUUUUUCUGUUCCCGGAUCUAAUCAGGAUACCACACUGCAUUUAGACUCUAGUUUUCAACUUUGGAUUUGCAAAUACUUGAGGUUCCUUAAAACAGGAAUGAAUUAGUGACAUUUUUCUGUUGUACAGAAAAUAUAUCAGAAGCUUCUUUUUCCUUUUUUAGGGCUGCACCUGCGGCAUAUGCAAUUUCCCAGGCUAGGGGUCUAAUCGGAGCUGCAGCCUACGCCACAUCCACAGCCACAAAGGAUCUGAGCUGCAUCUGCAAGCUAUACCACAGCUCAUGGCAACACCGGAUCUUUAACCCACUGAGCAAGGCCACGAUCGAACCCGCAUCGUCCUCAUGGAUAUCAGUCGGGUUUGUUGCCACCACUGAGCCACAAUGGGAACUCGAGAAGCCUCUUUCUUGUAUUGGAGGAUGUUUUGUGUGUUUACAGAGCCAGCUGUCUGCUGUGGAGAAAUCCCAUCCGCAGCUUUUUGGGUGUGUUAAACUCUGGACAGCCCCAGCCUAUCUGAUCUGGAUACGAAUGGCUGUCCUCAGGGCCAGCAAUGGCCCAGCCUGGUACUUUUGUCACUGGUGUUUGGAUCUUGCUUGAGUCUCAUUUCUAUUUACUGUUUGUGGUGCAUACAGCUUUCUUCACUUCCAGGUGCCCAGUUUAUCAACUGAAGGACUUUGGUGCCAGAAACACAUAAAUCCGGUCCCCAGCUUCCACCCUAGUAGUUGUGGGACUGUGAGCAAGUCACUUAAUUGCUCUAAAACUCAGUGGGUUUAGGAUCUGGCAUUGCCACUGCAGUGGCUUGGGUUGCUGUGGUGCAGGUCUGACCCCUGGCUUAGGAACUUGGGAAUGCCACCCCCUCACCCUCCAAAAACCCCAUCAAUUUCCUCCUUUUCAAGAUGGGGACAGCAGCUAGCUUGCAGAAUUACUCAGAGGGUUAAGUGGAGGAGUGGUAAGCAGUGCUUGGUGUGCCGUGGAUGUGGAGUGAUGGAUGGAUGGACGGCAGUAAGGGCAGGUGGGUACAAUGGAAGGUUUUGAAUACCAGGCAGAACCUCCUGAACUUACUUGCUGGUGGCCAGGGGCAGGCACCAGGUUUGGGAAGGGGAGGGACGGCAUCAGGGAGUCAAAUGCAGGAGUGCUGGAUUAAGUGGGGAGGCAGUGCCAGUGGAGCAGAAUGGGGGCCUGGACUGGAGGCACAGUGAUGGGAAGAUGAGAUUCUUUUUUUUUUUUUUGCUUUCUAGGGCUGCACUCUCAGCAUAUGGAGGUUCCCAGGCUAGGGGUCUAAUCGGAGCUGUAGCUGCCGGCCAGAGCCACAGCCAAGCCAGAUCUGAGCCAUGUCUGCAACCUACACCACAGCUCACGGUAACGCCGGAGCCUUAACCCACUGCGCCAGGCCAGGGAUCGAACCUGCAACCUCAUGGUUCCUAGUUGGAUGCAUUUCUGCUGCGCCAUGAAGGGCACUCUGGGAAGAUGAGAUUCUUGAAUGACUGUGUGUACCAUCCACUGAUAGAGAACUAGACAGGAUGCAGGAGGAACUCCAAGGCGACUAAUUUCUAGGUCCAGGUGAAGAGAAGAAUGUGAUGUCAUUAAUAGAGAGGAAUAAGGAUGAAGAGGUAAUUUGCGGGAGAACAUUGCAUUUGGCUUUAUU